GCCAGACGGUAAAACAGAAAGAAAAAACGGAUCUUCUCCCCCACUUCUCCCGCACCCGAGAACCGCCCACACGCCUCGAUCUCCCGCCGCCGAGCCUCCUUCCCCAAUCCACACGCCUCAUCCGCGCCCUCCCUGGACCCCCAUGCCGCUGCGCCCCCUCCCUGAGGCCCCCGCCGCCACGCCCUGUCCCCGGAGGCCCCCGCCGCCGCGCCACCUUCCCGGAUCCACCCGCCGCGGCGCGCCCUCCCCGGAAUCCGCACGCGCGCCGCCGGAUCCUGCGGCCGCCUUACGCCUCCACCACCAACCGCCGCUGCUCUCCCCGUCCCUCACCUCCGGUCAACCCCCCACUUCUCCCCUCCGAUUUUGGUUUUGCAGAAUAAGGCAUGCUGUCUGGCACUUCGACUGUAGAAUUAAGAUACAUUGAUCGCUGGCAAAAAUGGCUCCCCUGCGCAAGAGGCUGUGGACUUGUGCGGCGAGGAGGGAUCUCAACCUCCCUUCAGAUUUUGUUGCUUCCAUGCCCUACGUUUCUUUUUAAUGCAUGUUAAAGAAUGCCCUCGGCCUGACCUUUUUCUUGUGUGAUUUGGUCAAUAUUUUCUAUGAUCCAUUUGGUGUAGCUUCUCUGUGAUUUUAUGGAGCUUUGUACAAGACUUCUAUCAUCGUGCUAUUCCAUGUUGGUUGUUGAGGUGCAAGCAAAAAAAAACGUUCUUGUACAUCUACAGGAAAAUUCAUAUACGCGCAAAAGAGUGUUUUAUAAAUUAUGUGCACGAAGUUCACUUA